GACAGAGGUGCCAAGCGUUAGGCGGAAUCACUGGGCUUAAAGCGUGUGUAGGUGGAUUUGUAAGUACCUUGUGAAAUCCCAUGGCUCAACCAUGGAACUGCUCGGUAUACUGCGAAUCUUGAGCCACUUAGGGGCUACCGGAACAAAUGGUGGAGCGGUGAAAAUGCGUAGAUAUCGCUUGGAACGCCGACGGCGAAAAGCAGUCUGCUGGGGGGUGUGCUGACGCUGGAGACACGAAAGCCAGGGGGAGCGAACGGGG
rnacentral:rRNA from 1 species